rnacentral:tRNA from 1 species
AGUAAGGUAUGUUAUAUAAACAUUUACCGUUCAAAGGUAGAAAUGACUGCUAUCAGGUCUCUUACUU